rnacentral:miRNA from 1 species
UAAAGGGAAUUUGCGACUGUUG